rnacentral:lncRNA from 1 species
GUUUGGUUAGCAAGUGGGGACAAAGAGGUCUAACUUGGUCUCAAUGAUGUAAUUGUCUGAGUAGAAAGGGAAAGAAAACCAGAGAAGGAAGUCACUUACUACAUCCUAACCAAGGAGCUUGAAGGUCCUGGAUUGAAAUCCUCAUUGAAUUUCCAGCAGACCAAUUUCAGAACAGAGCCCUCCCUGAGCCGAAUAACCAAAGGCAGAAAGACCUUCUGAACAGAGACAUUGUAGCUGAGAACAGAGCGAAAGUGAGAAACUAAGCCGAGAACAGAGUGAAGUCUUCAACACAGCGUGCCUGUAUGUGUAUGUGUAUGUGUAUGUGAGUGUGUGUGCAUGUACCAAGGACUUUCAUUUGGGACACGGACAACUUAACCAGAGUCUACACCACUGAAGAAAGUGUCUCUCUGUGGUAGUGUGCAUGAGGUGUUUUCUAUAGUCUCAUGCAUUUGAACACUUGAUCCCCAAUUGAUGGCCCUGUUUAUGGAGGCUUAGGGGCUAUGUAUGGCCUUGUUGGAGGAAGUGUGUCCCUGGGGUGGGCUUUAGGGCUUCAAAGCCCCUUGCCAUUUCCAGGUCGUUCUCUCUGCUUCUUGCUUGCUGUUUAAGAUGUGAGACGGUUUCUGCUCCAGCCGCCAUGCCUGUCACCUGCAGCCACGAUGUCCCUGAUAUUAAGGACUUCUAACCCUCUGGAACUUGAUGUCU